CAGGCUUGAACGUGUUGCAUGCGCGUGUGGAACGCCCUCUGGUCGUCCUGCGCCUGUCGCAAGGAAACGCGAGCGAGAAGCGACAGGGAGAGAGGGAUUUAAGAGCAAGAUCAGAGAGAAGAGGUCAAGAAGAGGGGGUAGCUCGUGAAAACCGGUGAUGAGCCACUUGGGGAAAUCAGCGUGAAACGAGACGGGGAGAAAGCGACGGAGCGAGAGAGAGACAGCGCCACACGCAGAGACGAACCCACAGGACGGAACCACGCUGAAGAGAGAGGCGAGGCGAAAAAGAUGAGACUGGCGAGAGCCUCUGGCGUCUACGCGCACUCCGCGUUGGCUUCGACAUCACGGACGUCAACCUGUCGAGAAACAGCUGGAUUUCGGUCUCCCCUUGCCGAAUGCCUUUCCUCGUCUCUGGCGUCACCAAACCGCUGUGUGGUUUCUGAGUUUCUAUUAACGGUCACCUCAUAAAAACUCAUUUUCAGCGAUCUGACCCUUCCCUUUCUCUCUGGGCUCCUCUCGACCUGUUUGCUGGCCAAGCCAUAUAUAUCUAUAUCUAUAUAUCUGUAUGUAUAUAAAUAUAUCUAUAUAUAUAUAUAUAUCUAAUAUAUCUAAAUACCUAUAUAUCUCUCUAUCUCUCUAUCUCUCUAUCUCUCUCUCUAUCUCUCUCUCCAUCUAUAUAUAUAUGUUAUCAUUGGCGGUCUCUUUCCACCAUCUUCGCCUUCCUCUUCUGUCUCUUCUUCGCCUCUCCGUUACCCUCUCGAGGCGCGCUUGCGUCUCCGACAGCUCAGCUGUCAGGCGUUUUUCCGCCUCGCCCUUUUCGUCCAUGGUCCGCCGCCAGGCUGUCUGUGCCGCGUCGUGCUCCGCACGCAACUUUCGCGUCGCUUCCUCGGCAGCGGCAACGCCUGCUUUCAACUGCGCAAUCUCGCUGUAAGCACCAAUGCCGCAGACAGGAGUGGCGAGCGCCCUUCGCUGUCCUCUGUCUCUCCAAGACGAGGAUGAAGCCGCGAAAAACAGCAAACAGGCACGGUCCCCUUCUCGCGCGUUUCGCGGCGACCGUCGCCCCGAGAACGACAGCGUCUCAGUCGCGCUUUGCCGGCGGAGCUUGUUUUCCAAAACGUAUUUCCCUUCUCCACUUCAUUCAGUCUCUCUCUCUCUGUCGGAGCCUCGUUCUCUCUCUCUCUCCCGAACGAGCCUUUCAUCCUUUUGCAUGUGCUGUGAGGCCGCCGUUUCAUCCCUGCUCUCCUACCUUCUCGCUUGAUCCAUGGCCUUCUGCAUGUCGCGAAUGCGCUCUGCCUCGCGCGCGGCAGCCGCCACGGCGGCGCGUUCCAAGGCAGCCUCAGCAGCGCCGACCCUCCGUUCUGCAGUCGCCGCGCGGAGCUCAGCAUCCCUCGCAGCCUCGAUCGCCGCCGACUCAGCCUUGCCGAGUUUCGCCAGUUGUGCGUUGCGCGCAGUCAACUUUGCAGUGGCCGCGGCCAACAGCGUCUUUGUGCGCUCGUGGGCGAUCUGCCCCGGGUGUCUCCAUGGUGUCACGUCUAGAUUUAGGAGUCGUCUCUUUUUUUCAUCUUCAACUUUCACUUCCUGGUUCAGCCGCCACGUGCACCCGAAACAGGUGCGUUUUGUUUCUGAUGAUCUCGCUGACACAAGACAGAUACCACUGUUUCUCUGGAACCCUCUGGGUUUCUCUGUGUGUACCAAGCGAGACGCUUGAGUCUGCAUGAGGCUGUGCCUGCUUUUCUACUUGUUUCCUUAGCUGCUGCCAGACCGCUGCCUGUCUGCCUGUCUCGCUGGAUCUUUUGUGUCUCUCUUUUCCCCGCCCCUUUUCUUUGCCUUUUCACUCACCUCCGCUUGCUUCAGCCGCUCCAGCAACUGCAGCUGAUGCGCCUCUAGGCGUUUCACCUUUUCUUCCGCCUGGGCCACGCGGCCUUGGUAAUCGUCCUGUUUCGCCAGCAGCCUGUCGAGGCCUGCGCGGAGUUGCUGAUCUUCUCUUUCCCUCCGCGCGAGCUCUUCGGCAUCGGUUGCAUGCGCGUCAGAGACCGCUCGGCCGCUGUUUUGGCGAGUGUCUCCCUCGCCGUCUCCGUCGCUGUCUUCUUUCUCCCUGUCUCUGGCUGCUUCGCGGGCGCCGUCGAGUUCUUCUGCGAGAAAGGGGAACAGGGUCCGCAAUGCAGCGCCACUGCACUCGUGGUAAAAAAACGGGGACGAGAGGACGAAAGGGAAGGAAACGGCGAGGGCGACGAGGGACAGAGAGGACGAGCCUACCUUGCGACAGCUUGUGCGUCUCACGGCCCUGUGGAAGCAAGGGGGCUGGGCUAUGUGGGGAAGGCGGCAGGCCGUCUUCUCCGCCCUUCUUGCUCUUCCUCUGGAUGUGUUUCCCUCAGGUCUUCCCCUCCUUCUCGCUGAAGGGUCAGCCGGUUUCGUUCUUACAGAUUCGCAUUGCCGAGACAGAAGUUGAAGCGCCGCUCCCAAUCGCGCCUUCUCAGCGAGGGCCUCAGCCAGCGCCUCUUCACAUCUGCUCCGGCCACACGUGCGCGAACGCAAGCGCCCCCACUUCCAGUCAGGCAAAAACAAACCCCGGAAACCUCCGAAACCCCGCCGAAUUGGAUGUCUCAAAACGUUCUCUGACUAACUGUAGGUCACCAGGAACACCGCUCCACGUGAUCCCUCGCUUCUUCUAGGUUUGCAUCCUCUUGCUUUUCACAACUGCACUCGACAACUCCCCGCUUCGACGAGCUGUACUGUGGUGUCUCGCAUCUCCCACGUCACUGUCUGUCCGUCCAGCGCCUUUCCUUUUCCGCCUCCGUGCUGAUGAGGCCAAUAAGUUGUGUCGUGUCUCUCUCGGGUGUGAGAAAGGGACUCUGCUUCUUUUGCGCAUGUAAACUUCAUCUCACUUUCGUAGCUCGUCGGUUUUGUUCCGGAGUUUCUGCGCGAGGUCCUCGCAGGUCUGCUGCAGGAUCGGGGUCGGCUGCGCCUGACGAGGAAGGGAAGGACGAAACGUGGGAGGCGAAAACGCGCAUUUCUGCGACCGCGCAUGCAAGAUUCGCCGAGAAGACCCCACAAGCAGAGGAAACCCAAGAUUGCGAGAAACCCACCGUAGGCACGGCAGCGCUGGUACCGGAGGCUGCGCAAGCGUGGUUCGGUGGAAGGGACGCGAGAGAGAAGAGAGAAACAUUCGCGGCAGCAGGCGUCUCCGUGUCCCCCUUUCGUCUCACCUUCCGCAGUCCGGAGAAGUCGCCUUGAGUGCCUGAGAAGCUGCGUGGAUGGGCAGAACCAAAUUACAGAGUGAAGCGUCUGGGGAACGCAAGGCAGCACCAAACCCUCUUGCGACAAGGAACGAGAAAAAGGGAAAGCCGAAAGCGCUGGAAACAAGCAUGAGACGCCAGGCGGCGUAUGUGACGUCUCCUGAGUUCUCUGUAGGAUCCACGGCACGUCUCCGAGGUUUGCUUUAGAGAGAGACGGAGAGCAGCGACUCUCGUGUUUCAUCCCCCGCUUAGGAAAGCCUGUCCUUAUGUCUCUGGUUUCCUCUGGCUUCUGUUCUUCGCUUGUGUGCUCUCGCUCUUCAUCUAAUUUUUCGUGGCACGCGUCGAUACUUCACAUGUUUUCUUCGCUUCACUGUCGUCGCCCGCGCGAGCGGCGUUUCGCUUGUUCUUUCUUCGUCGACGGCACCAGAUGUCGCAACCCUUUUCCGCCUAUUUUCUCCCCACCUGACCCGUCCCGUGCUCGCUUCACACAUCGGCCUACCCAUGAGCGUCAACGAGGCGUCCCCUGUCGUCCGUUGGUGUCGGCGACCGGCAACCCGUCAUUGCUUCCUCCUGAGAAAAUGCGGCGCCGAGAAACGUCUUGCAAACAGAGAUCCACACAAACGGCAGAAGGGGCGGGAACGCCUCGUGCACUCGUCCUAGCGGCGAGUGUGUGAAAACGGUUGAGCGUGGAGAACGCAGGCCAGGCCGUGCCGCAGAAGGCGCUACGGACUCGCCGCGCGCCGGCAGGGACGGAAACAGCGGAACUGGCAAGACACAGAGGACGUAAACGUUUGCAGCGAAAGAAAGGCAAGGGUCCAGUGCAGCAUGCGCGCGCCUGUCUGGGGAAGAGCGAGACGCAAACGCCGCAGGUUUUGCUUUCCGGCAAGGCGUCUGCGGACACUGCCCGAAGAAACGGGGCGUGGCCCAUGGAAGAAGGAAUGCCAAACGAAGAACGCGAAACAAGCGGAGAAUGAGACAGAGGCAAAAAAGACGAAGAAGAGAAACACCACACGACACAACGAGCGGCUGCGAAAAAGCGGCAAGAUACAGCCCAGCAUUUUGAAAAUGACGCUGGAGCUCCGACGAGCUUUUUCCCACGUGGCGCGGGCGUUAGUUCCUCAUUCGCGAUCUCCAGCUUGUUUCGCGGGUCAAUCCCUGACUUCCGUACCUCCGUAAGAACAAAGGGUGUCGUCUCCGGGGAAGAUUCUUCACACAGUGGAUUCCCAAAGGAGAACAGGCGGCUGAUCUUCUCUCUCGCCUCUCUCUUCUCCUUCAUCUCCCUCUCCCAGAUUGUCUCAUGUUCGCCUCCGUCUCCCAGGAGUUCACGGCCUUUGUCGCCGCGCGUCUCUUUCUCUCUGCUUUCGCCCUCUUCUUCCAUGCCUCGCCACGCCUCUGCUUCGGAUGGGCGUCCGGCCUUCGCGAGGAAGGCGGGAUUGAUGCACGAGAAAAUCAACGCCCGUCGCUCUCUUUCCAGCUGUAUGUUUCUUUCUUCUUUUGUCUCUCCUCGCCCUUCCUCGUCUCCUCCCGUGCCUUCCUCGGCUGCUCCGCCGUCGCCCUCGCCCACAUACAACACACCAUCCUUCUCCUCUUCCCCGUCUUCUCUGUUUUUCCUCUCUUCGCCCUUUGCAGGAUCUCUGCCUCUCCGCGUCGCUUGCCCAAAACGUGGCAAGGAUGCUGAGAAAGCAGGAGACGCAGAAGUGGCCGACAAAUGGGGGGAAGGAGAUUGCGACAACGCAGGCGACAGUCCGGGCACCGUACCCGACGCAGUCGUGGGCUCGUCAGUGUCUCCACUCGAAACAAAGAUGCAGUCCCCCCUCUUCGUGUCUUCUCCAUCGCCUUCGUCUUCUUCGUCUCCACUUCCGCGUGCACGGCUUUGUUCUUGGCGCUUUCGGCUCCACGCGAGUCCUCUUCCCCCGCCUUCUGUCUGUCGCAAGAGCCCGCGGCACCUUUCCCACUGACGCUCAACGGCUUCUUGUUGCCGAGAAAGAACUUUCUUUUUUCUUGCAAACCUUUUCAUUUCCGCUGCGUGGGAGACUUUCAUCGUUUCCAACGUUUGCCUUUCCCUUUCGAGGCUCGCUUGAGACAGGAGAAAAGCCCGCGUCUGAUUCUUCAGGCCCUCGAGCAUCUCGCUUAUCUUCUUCUCUCGGCGGGAAAGCUGAAGGUCGAGCUCCUUCUUCUCCCGAUCGAACUUUUGUUUUUCUUCCUCGAGCUGGGCCUUCUGACGAGACAGCCUCUCGUCUUCCCUAGAGGAUCGCUCUUCUCUCUCCAUUUGCAUCUUCUCCUCUGCCGUCCUCUCCCUCGCCUCGUACUCCCCUCGUUCCAUUCUUUCCACUUCUCUUUCUCUUUCUUUUUCCGCUUCGCGUGGCCUCUCUUCGGCCUGCGAACUCUCGCUCUUGUCUCUCACCAGCUCCUUGCGCUCGUGUCGAAGCCGCGCGGUUUCGUGCUCGACUGCUUCCUGCUCUUUCCUCAGGCGCCGACUCCACAGCUCCAAGUCUUCGCGAGCGGCACUUACUGACAGUUCUUUUCUUCCAAGUUCUCCUUCUUCUCUCAGCAAUUCUUCUCGCUCCCUCUGGAGGUCGGCCUUCUGGCUCCUCAGGUCUUCUCUCUCCCGCUGGAUUGCCUCUCUUUCUGUGGCAAUUUGCAUCUUCUCUCUUGCGACGACGGACCUUUCGAGCAGCAACGCGUCGUUCUCUCGCCGCACGCCUUCCUUCAUGGCCAUGACGUGUCUGUACACCCUCUCUCCGCGUUGUUUCUCAUCUUCGAGAGCGCCGAAGAGCUUCUGCAUUGCCCGUGUCUGCAGCUUCAGCUUGCUUUCUUUCUGAAACAGUUUCCUCACUUUCGUCCGUAUGGCGUCAACUUUCUUCCGCAAAACCCCCGCUUGCUCCUUCAGAAGCUGCGUCGCCUUCGCUUGGUACUCCUGGACACGUCUCUGCCGUUUCCUCUCGGCUUGCAGUCUCGCUGCUUCCUUCCUCAGUUUGCCUCUCUCUAGCGCCAUCGCCCUCUCGUGCUCCCCCCAGCGUUUUUCUAUUUCGUCAACGCCUGUGCGUUUCCUGCCUUCUGCCGCUCCUGUCCCUCCUUCGCUCCAUUCCGCCUCCUCUCUUUCUUCCUCGCUCUUCCCCAAAAAUCUCCGCCGACGGUUCUCUCCUUCCAGCGGCUCUCCAAGAUCCUCGAGGGCUCGACCCCUCUCUGCUCGUCCUUUUGGCCCUUCUUGCUCUCUCUCGUUCCCUCUCUCUUUCCCUCUCUCUCUGUCGCUCUCUUUCUCUCUCUCUUUCCCUCUCUCUUUGUCACUCUCUUUCUCUCGCGUCGCGCUCUCGAUCUGUCUCGCCAUCUCUAUCAGCCCGCAUCCAAGCGCAUGCAGUUCUUUCUGCUUCUGUUCGAGUCUCCGUCGCGCGUCGAGGAGGCUCAGGGCGGGGUCAGGAGGCCCUCGCCCCGGCGACGCGGCACACCGACAGGAGGUCCAAGCGUCAGGCAGGAGAGAAGACAAAGCGGAAGCGAAAGCACUCGGCGUCUCUCCGUCGUGCUUGUCUUUCUCCUGGAAUCCUUCCCCCGUUGCGGGUUUCUCGUUGUUUCCCUGACUCGCCCCGGUCGCCGUAGGAGCACAGCCAAAGAGGUUCUCCACUUCCAUGAGGAAACACGAGGCGGCAGAGGAUGCAGCCGCCGACAAACUGGAAGUCGACGCAGGAGCGCAAGAGGAAGAAAGAGAAGACGUAAACGAGGGAGAUGCAGAAACAGAAGCUGGAGCCGCGACAGCUGUAAAAGACGGAGGAGAGGAAAAGGCGGAGGCAGACUCAGAGGGACAAGGAGAGGGCGAAGUGGAAAGAGGGUAAAGAAGGCAAGCAUCUGAUGAGGCAGUCGAAACCGAUGAGAAGCGAUCUGUCGACGUGGUCCAGGAGGACGCGCCAUGGCCCGUCGUGAACGGUUCAGCCGAGGAGUGUGUCUCUUUUUGGGACGCGUCCGGUUGGUUCUCUCCCAAGCCGCAUUUUUGUUCUUCGCCCAGUAGAGAGGGAACCGGAAUCCCCGCAGGUUCUGAGAAAACGUCGAGCGGAGACGACGCGCGCUCGAUAGGGGCAACGCUCGACGUUGGGCGAGGAGACGAGGCUGGAGAUGGAGCGACGGCAGCACUCGUCAGUGGCAACGGAGCUGGAGAGAAACUGAGGAAGGCUUCUUCAGCUGUCGUCGUUUCACACGAGACACACGGUUUCGCAUACUUCUGCGCAGAUUUGCACUCUGUGAUGGAGGCGCGAAAGGGCUCAGGAGCCGCAAGCGGAAGACCGACAGCGGUAGCGAGAGUUGCGAGAGGCGCGAGCGCACAAGUCGCUGCGCGUUGCUGUGCGUCCUGCGCAGACACCCCGGUGCCGGGGACGGAGACCGAAGACGAGGAAGACACAGAGGCGACAUUGGCAAAAGACGCCUUGGCGAUCAACGCGUUGACGAGAGAAAGCGUGCGGCAGCAUGAGGGAAGCGAACAGGCCGCACAGACCGGCCCUGGAGGUCCUGGCAGUGAAACGGAAGAAGGGAACGAGCACGAGCAAGAGAGACCCGAAGACGCCCAGGACGAAGCUGAAGAAGAUAACACAUCGCCACGGGUAAGCGGGGAGGAAGUGCAAGGAGGGGACACAAGCGAAGGCGAGCAGCUAGAGAAGGAGUCUGGGCAUUCUGCUUUUCCCGGCGGCAAGGUCCUGUCCCGGUUUCCAACUUCACCCCGCACGUCGUCUUCAGUCUCCCGCGCAGGGCGAUGCCUGCGCGUAAAACGUCGGCUGUCUCCACUCUGGGCCGCUUCCGCGCCGUUCGGUUGUGCCCCGUGGCGACCGCCUCCGUUAUCUCCGUUUGGGCUCCGAAACUCUCGAGCUGUGGCCUGUCCCCGUUUCUGCUGAUGGCGUGACGGUGUUCGACUGAGGCUUUCGAGCCGAGACGCGCUUUCGGGCCGAGACGCACUUUCCGGUCUCGCCUCCGUUUCUGUUUCUGACGCUUCUCGGCCGACUUCGUCUCCCCGUGCCUCUUCUGCUUCUCCACCCUCAGCUGCUUUGCUUGGGCCUGCAGAGAGAGACGGGUGCUGGUUGUGCUUCGUCUCGGGGGGGGUUUUUCUAGCUUCGGAGCUGCGCGACCGAAGCGCUCUGCGCCUCCGUUUCUCGUUCCCAUGAUCUGUCUCGCCUGCAUUGUACAGGGGCAAGUGGCAUGGGGAAGGAGCGGCUUCGCGACCCGCCUUCCUGCUCGGAUGCAUUCGCGAGGUUGUCCCAGCUUUCUCGCGUUCUCCCGAAACCCUUAGUGUGGUCUCGCUGGUGCCCUGAGAGGCGCAGCUCCUCGGCGGCGAUGCCCGAUGCUUGCACGUGCGUUUUGCGUCCUCGCUUCGGGUGUAUAGACACUCUGCGUCGUCCGAGGUGGCCGUCAGUCCCUGCUCGUCGGAGGCUUCCUCCUGACUGCAGAUUUCGAUAUCGGAAAAAAACUCAAGGAACGACGAAGAGGGCGAGGAUAGGGGGCUCGCCAGAGAAGACGAGCUCCAGCUCGUAUGCUCUCCUUGAAAAGGCUCGUUGGCGUUCUCUCGCUUUCCGCAGGCCUCCAACUUAAGCGUGCCGGGAGUUUCGCAGGUUCCACCUCUUCCACUGCCUUCGUUUUUCUCCCGCUGCCUCCUCGUCUGUCGACUCUCUGUCGCUGCCGCAGAAGCAGAGGAAACAAAGGACACGGUUUUCCCUGUCGACGCAACGGGUCCAGGACAGGAAGACGAAUUCGAAAGAGGAGAGGAAGACGGACGCCAGACGGGUGAGGAAGGAGAAGAAGUCGGAUCGACUGGCCGAUCUAACGCGCAAGCGAAGCGCGGGUCUUUGGGAAGAUGUCGCAGCUCUCGGGCAAAAAAUGCGGAGAUUUCCUCCGGCGACAACAGCGGAGCAACGGCACCAGUCUCCAACGAAGGCGAAGGCAAGGCCGAUGGCGAGGAAGAGUUCGUCUCUUUGUGCGUUUGCUGAUCAGACGCCCGCGUGUCAACCGCCUCGCCAGCUUCGCCUCGCCACGGGGUGACUCCCUUCGAGGCCGGGAGGCCAGGCGAUGACAGAGGAGAAUGCCACGCAGCGAAUUCUCCCGGUUCAGUGUGGUCUGCCUCUUCUUGGCGCGCAGAGGGGGAAGAGAGAAAAGACGGCGAGAAGAACGCCAGCGAUGACGGCUCCUCGCAGACAGGGGUCGGGCCCGACCCGGGCGAGGCGGCGGGAAGGUCGAGACGCAAAGAAAAAGAAGAAAGCGACGGACGAAAGGUGGAAGCAGACGCAGGCGCAGAGGAAGAAGAAAGGAAAUGAGAGGGGGGCGGGGCCGCAGAGUGGGUUGCCGACGCCAAAGAAGACAGCUGAGGGCGAGACGGCAUAUCGGUGUCUGGGGGAAACGAAGAGGCGUUGAGGGGAACAGUGGUGGCAGAAGGCAAGGCGGUUGCAAACAUCUGGCUAGUUAAACCGUCCAUCGUGGAAGCACACCAGAACGGAGACGGUUCAGGAAUGCAGGAUGACGCCAUGGAAUCCCCAAGGGCGUUCGGGUUUCGCCGGGAUUCAAACGCCUCCGGUGUGCGUUCUUCUCUGCGACCAAAUGUUGGCGAACUCGGCUGUGGAGAAAGGGAGUCUGGGUCUUGAAACGCCGGCGCGACUGGAGGCGACCGUUUGGGUGAAUCUUCUCGUCGCUUUGGGUGUCUCCACACCCUGCCCGAUUCAUCGAGGUUUCCUUCUCUUCCUGUCUCUUCCUUCUCCGCAACUCCCUCACUGCCUUUGCUUCGGCGCUUCCCGCUCUCGACCAGCGCGGACCAGACGGUGAAGGCCGAGGGCGGUGACGAGCAGAAAAAAGACGAAGGACGGGACGCCCAAGACGCCGACGAAGAGCGAGAAGAAGCAGAAAACGAAGAAGACGAAAAAGAAGACGAAGAAGGGGAAGACGCCGACCGCUUGGCUCCUGUGGAAAGAGGCAUCUGUCGACCAUUGAACGGUGGCUGGUGUCGGGUCGGAGACAGGUCCGAGAAGCGGGGGAGGCCGGGGGACCACGUUGGAUGAGAUCUGAGGCUCUCUGCGUCGCUAGCUGAUGUUCUGCACGUUUCGCCUUCGCACGUUUCCCCGCGGGCUGUCCGAGGACGGGAUUUGUGUUCUUUCCUGCAUCUUCGCGCAGCGCCAAAUCGCCUCCUGCAACCUUGGCCUUCGACAGACAGGUGCGAAUCUCGCGAGCUUGUAGAAGACGAGACCGACAGGCGCGUCCGUCUCCUAGCUUCCUUUGACUCGACACCUCUCGCCGCAGCCGCUCUCUCAACAUCCUCGGAUGACGCUGUCUCUGGCGUCUCCGUUCUGCGCCUGGGGCUGCCGUUCUCUUCAUGCCUCUCACAGGAGGGGGAAUGGGACACGCGACCGUCCUGCCUUCUCUGUCUCCUUUCUCCUCCUUUUUCUCUCUGGCGGCAGAGUCGAGGCUCCUCGCUUUGGUCCUCCUUUCUUGCUCUUUUCUCUCGCGGAGACGACACCCAGCAGGGCGACCCUAGCCCGUUCAUCUCUUCAGCCCCCCUAGCCGUCCACGCUUCACUUGCGUAUCUGCUUUCGCUUCCCUGCACGAACUUGCCGGCGGGUUCCUCUUUCUUUCUUCUACUUCUCGCCUCAGUCGAGGACACACGUUCUUCGCCUGCACCCAUUCUCUCCCUUCUCGCGCUCGCCAGUCUUGCUCUACGGUCGCCUCUCCUCUGCUGUCUCGUUUUCUCUUCCAGUGAUCUCUGACGGGCGCCGGGUUCUGAGACGUCAGAAUCGCCUACCUCUCCCGCUCGGCUGUUUGUUCGGCGGAGAGGCGACAGGGAGCCCGGUUCAAACUCCCGAGCGUUUCGUCUCCCUCCCCGCGUCUUCGCCUGCGUGCUCCUCUGCGAUUCAUCUGAAGCCGAGGCUUCGAAAUCGUCUCGCGAACGCGUCGCCCAUCUGUUCUGGCGGCACCUGAGCUUACCGCUUGUCGCCCCGCGUGUGUUCUUACUUUCCUUCUUCGGGUACUUUGCAGAAGAGGACAAAGAAUCCGAACGGGACAGGGCGUCUCUUCCCGGCGCGUCGCUCUCCGUGCUCAACGACUCCCGGGGGGGUUCAAUGGGACGACUGUCGUUGCUUGUUCGCCGUGACGUGUGGCAGUUGCCGCCGACGUCUGUGUCGCGUUUGUCUCUGCUAUGGAGGGUUUCUCUUCCUGGAAUUCUCUUUCCGAUGGGUGGUGGUGAUGUCUGAACUGGAAGCGGAACUUGUGGUGAUGGUGGCUGUCGACCGUUCCCGCGCUCCGAGGUUACCUGUCGGCCGGUAACGCGCGGUUGUGCUGCCUGGUCGUGUGCGGCAAGCGUGACAGAGAAAAGGCGCUCCGCUUUUUGUCGAGGGGUGGCAAUUCGCCCACCUGAAGAGUCGCUUCGCACCUCCACGCUUUGGAUUGCAAAGCACGGGCCUUGCCCAGAACCUACCUCUCCCGUUGACGCCGUGGCAGCCGUCGAGCACCUGGUUCUUUCCCCAGAUCGGGAUUCGCCGCGUCCUCCGGCAUGGUCCGUUUCUCUUGUGGCCCAAACGGUCGGCGACAAAAGAGCGUUUCUGCAGCUUUCUCUGGCACCAGCAUCUGGGAGCGGGGACGUCUGGUGGGAGUGAACAUCUGUGCGACGAACUUCAGACACAUGCCCCACCGUUCUGCUCGUUGUGUCUUCUCGGAGACAGCGCGGAGACAGUUUUCUGGAGCAACGUGCUGUCGCUGCCGCAGUCGCGACCGCGACUUCUGCCGCGGCUGCAGCCGAGGCCUUUGCUUUGUCAGCCGCCGCCUUGGCAGAUGCAGUGCAAAUCAUCGAUCUGACCUGGCUGGGGAAGCCUUCUUCCGGCCCUCGCCGGGGGUGAAGUGCACGAGAGCCUUGAGGACCGUUUUCGUCAGACCUGUGAGAAGCGGCAUUCGCACUCGGUAGAAAAGGGGCGUUCCCGCUCCGCGUUCGGGAAGCGGAAGGAAUCGAAUCCAGGCGCUUCGACCGUGCUGGAGGCGCGUCAAGAGGAGACACGGAGACGAUCUCUCGGGCCUGGCGAGGUGCCGAUGCCGUUCCGGCGAUGCCAGCGGUGUGAAAAGAGGGACAUACCGGCCUAGCGUGGCCGUGGGCGAUAUCCGGAAGUCGGCAGGUGCGGGGGGAUGCCUGCACAGGCCGAGGAGACGCUGAAGAGUAUGGAGACUGAGCGAAGAGUCGGGGUCGGGGGGUUUGGGGCGGAGGAAGGUGAACGAACGGGGAGUUGGAAGAUCCAGACGCGCAGGCUGCAACCGGUCGCCUCGCCUCCUCGGAGAUCGCCUUUCUGCGGCCAAUCUCCAAGAGCGUUCGCGCCGGGUUUCUGCAUCGUUGCCAAGCGCCAUCUCGGCUCGAGAGCACUGCUGCUUGACCGCCUCCCGGCAAAGGUGGGUAGGGAAACCUCUGCGGACUUCCCCAGUUGCCCCGCAAACUUUCGCGCCGCACGACAGCCACAAAGCUCUGUUGGUGGCCGUCAGGGGACUCGUCCACAGAACUGUGAACCGCCGUCCGCGCCGGUAACGGAUGAAGUUCUCGUGGGGAGUGAGAGGUCGACACCCACCGAGAGGCGCUCGACGGCGCGGAGGCGCUUGCCCGCGACCCCACCGUGGCCCGAGGUGUCGGAGCACUGCGGCAAUCCGUGUUUGUCUGUUGAGAGGCCAAGGGAGUCCCAUGUGCCUGGUCGACUGUUUCGUUCCCCUCACGGACGGAGGGGCAGUGUGCAGAAGGUUGGGAACACCGCGGAGGAUCCCACGCAGAAUGCGGCAGGCUCUCGGGAGCGGCGCAGUUUCCUGGCCCAAAUAACUCUGAUAACUCUUCACCGUCAUCGGUGAAGAGAUCCCCAAUUGACACUGGAGCUGGCAGACGCACCUCAUGAACGGAUGGGCUGGUCAGAGGGUUUGCCGUGUUGCGCGGAAUUGACGCGACUGAGAUGGGAGGGGGUGCGUUUUGCGCGGUGAGCAAUCUCCCGGUGUUUCCCAGCGGCACGUGUGUCAGCGCAGACGGCGGAAGAGAAAGAAAGCGCGAGGAACUCCGCCGUUCGUGUCCGAGCAGCGGCGUCCGGCUUCCUGUUGCCGGAGAGGCAUCACGGCUGAUUGCCCGCAGCUCUCCGGCUGAGGCAGCUGAGGGAAGCGGGAAGGCUUUGCCGGGAAGACGAAACACCUGUGUGAACCCAGGUGUCGUGGUUUCCCUUCGAAAGCAACAGGGAGAACGGCCUCGAGCCAUCGAGAACAGAGAGGCAUACGCAAUUGAGGCACUUGUGAGCUUCCUCGUGCAUGGAUACGUUGGGGAGCGAAGGGCUUACAACGUUGUGAGAAACGGCCAACGCCUUAUAUAGGCAGACUCGAAUGUAGGUACCAGGUUGGGGGGGGAAGGGGGGGGGGGUACAGGGUUCUAUGCCUACGAUUGCAAGACAACUUGUGUCGAGAGGAAAGAACGUUUGCAUUUGGCAAACACGUACGGAGGAACUGGGUGUGUUUCAACCAACAUUUCCUCUACCGACUGUGUGUGCGUUGAACACGGACACGAACAUCAGUGCGCGCUACCAAGACGUGCGACGGCUAUUCUCUUGAUAAUACCGCGGAGUUCUCUCCCACGAACACGGCGCCGCGCCCGCAGGAAAAAGCAC
rnacentral:lncRNA from 1 species